UGUUUUGUUGUCUGUGAGUAGGUUGCUCGAUUUUUUCCUGCAAUUCAAUCUGAGAUUCGAGGCCUAAGCUUGUUGCAUAGGCUGAUAAAGAGUGGGGAUGAUAUGAUUAGAUCAAAAACAUUGGAAUAUGUGUAGAACGACAAUGGGCGCUGUGAAAGGGAAAGAAGGGUCUAAGAACCUAUAACUUCUUGUUUUUUGGCCGGCGAAAGCU
rnacentral:lncRNA from 1 species